AUUUUAAUACCUGCUGGAAAUGAAUUGAUUUUUGAGACAAAUAUAUUUAAAUCUUGUUGUCUAAGCUUGGUCUAAUGUUAUAUUGAAAAGUUUAAUACCUGCUGGAAAUGAAUUGAUUUCUGAGACAAAUAUAUUUAAAUCUUGUGGUCUAAGCUUGGUCUAAUGUUAUAUUGAAAAGUUUAAUACCUGCUGGAAAUGAAUUGAUUUCUGAGACAAAUAUAUUUAAAUCUUGUGGUCUAAGCUUGGUCUAAUGUUAUAUUGAAAAGUUUAAUACCUGCUGGAAAUGAAUUGAUUUCUGAGACAAAUAUAUUUAAAUCUUGUGGUCUAAGCUUGGUCUAAUGUUAUAUUGAAAAGUUUAAUACCUGCUGGAAAUGAAUUGAUUUCUGAGACAAAUAUAUUUAAAUCUUGUGGUCUAAGCUUGGUCUAAUGUUAUAUUAAAAAGUUUAAUACCUGCUGGAAAUGAAUUGAUUUCUGAGACAAAUAUAUUUAAAUCUUGUGGUCUAAGCUUGGUCUAAUGCUAUAUUGAAAAAUUUAAUACCUGCUGGAAAUGAAUUGAUUUCUGAGACAAAUUUAUUUGAAUCUUGUGGUCUAAGUUAAAUUAGUUAUUUUAAACAAAAAUAUGGAAAAAGAAGAGCGCGAAGCUCUGCUAAUAUAUCUUGGGAAAAAUGAAUUUCCAUCUAAAUAUAAGAAAGACAAUAAGAGAAAACUUCAAAAGAAAGCAAAAUCCUUCCGGUUGGUUCAUGGAGAAUUAUUUCACGUUGGAAAUGAAAAAAAAACUACAACGCGUGGUAACUGGAGAAGAUGAACGAAAUUGUAUAAUACAAACUCUCCACAGCAACAUAGUUGGAGGGUGUCACUUUGAGCAAAACGCCACUAUCAAAAAAGCAACUGAUAGGUAUUGGUGGAAGUCGAUUUCAAUAGACAUACGCAAAUUUAUAGCAUCCUGCCCUAAAUGUCAACGUGCGGAUCCUAGCAACAAACCAUCACAUGCGACGCUCUAUCCAAUCCCAGUACAUGAAAUUUUUUACCGUUGGGGAAUAGAUCUAAUUGGUUCUUUAAAAAAAACUAAGAACGGAAAGAAGUAUAUUGUAGUAGCAACAGAAUACCUGACUAGAUGGGCUGAAGGUGAUUCCAUAGCAGAAAAAGAUGCAGAUCUGUUCAUUGUUUCAUUCUCCGUCUGGUAUUCAGAUUUGGGGCUUGCAACAUUCUACUUCGCGACCAAGGACCCGAGUUUUGUAACAAGCUUGUGGAAGAUCUUUUAUUGAUAUUAAACAUGGAAUCCGCCAAAACAUCAGCAUAUCAUCCUCAGACUAAUGGACUGACAGAAAGGUUUAACCAAACAUUGAUUACCCAUUUAAUGAAGCUCGUAAACAACGAAGCAAACGACUGGGAUGAACUACUGGACCCGGUGGCUUUUGCAUAUCGAAUAAAUAAACAAGCUUCUACAAAAUACUGUAUUGUGCAUUGUUAUAUCUCAUUGCAAGCAUUGUGGUAUCUCAUUGGUUUAACUCCCUUCGCUUAGAAAAACGUUUUCGAAUGUUUUUAAACUAUUUUUUAUUAAAAGUUAUUAUUGUUGUAUAUUGAAAGUUAAAUUGAUUUUUAUUAUUUA
rnacentral:lncRNA from 1 species